GACGAACGCGGCGGCGUGCUUAACACAUGCAAGUCGAACGUGAUUUUUUGUGGAAAUUCUUUCGGGAAUGGAAAUGAAAUGAAAGUGGCGAACGGGUGAGUAACACGUGAGCAACCUACCUUACACAGGGGGAUAGCCGUUGGAAACGACGAUUAAUACCGCAUGAGACCACAGAAUCGCAUGAUAUAGGGGUCAAAGAUUUAUCGGUGUAAGAAGGGCUCGCGUCUGAUUAGCUAGUUGGAAGGGUAAAGGCCUACCAAGGCGACGAUCAGUAGCCGGUCUGAGAGGAUGAACGGCCACAUUGGAACUGAGACACGGUCCAAACUCCUACGGGAGGCAGCAGUGGGGAAUAUUGCACAAUGGGGGGAACCCUGAUGCAGCGACGCCGCGUGAGCGAAGAAGGUUUUCGAAUCGUAAAGCUCUGUCCUAUGAGAAGAUAACGACGGUAUCAUAGGAGGAAGCCCCGGCUAAAUACGUGCCAGCAGCCGCGGUAAUACGUAUGGGGCGAGCGUUGUCCGGAAUUAUUGGGCGUAAAGGGUACGUAGGCGGUUUUUUAAGUCAGGUGUGAAAGCGUGAGGCUUAACCUCAUUAAGCACUUGAAACUGGAAGACUUGAGUGAAGGAGAGGAAAGUGGAAUUCCUAGUGUAGCGGUGAAAUGCGUAGAUAUUAGGAGGAAUACCGGUGGCGAAGGCGACUUUCUGGACUUUUACUGACGCUCAGGUACGAAAGCGUGGGGAGCAAACAGG
rnacentral:rRNA from 1 species